rnacentral:rRNA from 1 species
AGGACGAACGCUAGCGGCAGGCCUAAUACAUGCAAGCCGAACGGUAAUCCUGACGGCAACGUCAGGACUAGAGUGGCGUAAGGGUGCGUAACACGUAUGCAAUUUGCCCUCAACUGGGGGAUAGCUCCCGGAAACGGGAAUUAAUACCCCAUAACAUGCCAGCGAGGCAUCUUGCUGGCAUUAAAGCUACGGCGGUUGAGGAUGAGCAUGCGUCUGAUUAGCUAGUUGGUGAGGUAACGGCUCACCAAGGCGAUGAUCAGUAGGGGAACUGAGAGGUUGAUCCCCCACACUGGCACUGAGACACGGGCCAGACUCCUACGGGAGGCAGCAGUAGGGAAUAUUGGACAAUGGGUGCGAGCCUGAUCCAGCCAUGCCGCGUGCAGGAAGAAGGCCUCCUGGGUUGUAAACUGCUUUUAUCCGGGAAUAAAAAACCCGUGCGCGGGGAACUGAAGGUACCAGAUGAAUAAGCCACGGCUAACUACGUGCCAGCAGCCGCGGUAAUACGUAGGUGGCGAGCGUUGUCCGGAUUCAUUGGGUUUAAAGGGUGCGUAGGCGGCUGAUUAAGUCAGUGCUGAAAGCCCCCGGCUUAACCGGGGAGGUGGCAUUGAUACUGGUCGGCUUGAGUGCUGUCGAGGCAGGCGGAAUUGACGGUGUAGCGGUGAAAUGCUUAGAUAUCGUCAGGAACACCGAUAGUGAAGACAGCUUGCCAGAGAGCAACUGACGCUGAGGCACGAAAGUGUGGGGAGCAAACAGGAUUAGAUACCCUGGUAGUCCACACUGUAAACGAUGAUGACUCGCUGUUGGCGAUAUACGGUCAGCGGCCAAGAGAAAUCGUUAAGUCAUCCACCUGGGGAGUACGCCGGCAACGGUG